GAUGAACGCUGGCGGCGUGCCUAAUACAUGCAAGUCGAGCGAACAGACGAGGAGCUUGCUCCUCUGACGUUAGCGGCGGACGGGUGAGUAACACGUGUAUAACCUACCUAUAAGACUGGGAUAACUUCGGGAAACCGGAGCUAAUACCGGAUAAUAUAUUGAACCGCAUGGUUCAAUAGUGAAAGACGGUUUUGCUGUCACUUAUAGAUGGAUCCGCGCCGCAUUAGCUAGUUGGUAAGUUAACGGCUUACCAAGGCAACGAUGCGUAGCCGACCUGAGAGGGUGAUCGGCCACACUGGAGCUGAGACACGGUCCAGACUCCUACGGGAGGCAGCAGUAGGGAAUCUUCCGCAAUGGGCGAAAGCCUGACGGAGCAACGCCGCGUGAGUGAUGAAGGUCUUCGGAUCGUAAAACUCUGUUAUUAGGGAAGAACAAAUGUGUAAGUAACUAUGCACGUCUUGACGGUACCUAAUAAGAAAGCCACGGCUAACUACGUG
rnacentral:rRNA from 1 species